GAGAAAGAUACACGAAUAAUUAUCUAAAAGCUGAAAAUCUUGGCAAAUUCAUUUGUACAUAAACUAACAGGAGUGAAUUUUAAAGAUACACUCUGCUCUCAACAAUUAAAGCUGUCUUGUCGCAACAAAGUUUCAAUAAUUUUUUAUGGGCAACAUGGCCCAGUUUGCACAAAGACUAAAAAUUUUAACAUUAAAUUUGGAUAAACUAUCUUACGAUAGAAGGAAUGAUAUAUCCUUCAUUUUCGCCAAUAAUCUGGUCGAAUUUAGUCAAGUAAAAUGGUAUUGUUUCGUUCAAAAGUUGAUUCUUCCUCGCUUCCUUCUUUUCAGGAUCCUCCUCCAUGCGAUAGUAGCAGAUAGCUGAAACGUAUAUGAAACCAACCGUUACAUUCAUUUGUGUUUUUCCCCCCAAACGAAGAGAAAAUAAGUUGUGAAAGAAGGAGUAGCCUCUCAUAGUUCCUACAAUUUCUUCAUUCUCUUUGCUUUCUUCAAUAUUGCCUCAACAAGUUCCUGUGGUUCACGAUACUUGAAAUAUAUACAAUGUUAUCAGCGUGGAAAUUGUCUUGGAAACUUGGAAAAUCUUUCAAGAGGAACAACAUUGCUAACUGAGAUUCGAGAAAGGAAAUUACCAAGAAUGUCGAGAUAUAAACAACCAUUUGUGGAAAGGUCAGGAGAAGCAGAAUUAUCGAAUAAACGUUAUAUAACUCUUAGUGAUUAAGUAAGAGAAGAGAAACGAGAAAAAAGUCUUUUAUCUAGGUCUUAAUAAAGUAUACUAUAUUUAUCUCCAUAUCAAGAAUAACAACAAGAUAUAAACAGUCUUCUAGAAAUUGAACUCUUUGCAUCUUCUAUACAGGUAUCUCAUGAUCAUGUGAUAACACACAGGAAGAAAAAUAGAGGAAAAAACAGCGUAAAAAAAAGUUGCGUAGGAGUAUCGUCGCACUACAUCAUUCGACAAUUGAUGCACGUCAUGGCGAUCGUCACGGUUUAAAGCAGGCCAUCAAAAACACGUUUGUUAUCGUACGGAAAAAUCUGCGACGUUCCAGCUGUUCAGGUGCAUCGAAUUGUGAAUCAUCGGCGGUACGAAGCAAGGCGAGGGGCGUAAAUAGAGAAAGAAGAGAAGAGAAGGAUUCGCAUAAAUGAUAAAAUAUAAUCGUUCGUUCCUCGUCGAUGGCGGAUGGAUGGCUUUAAUCGUGGAUGAUAUCGAUACGAUUAUAUUUUAUACAUUUGAAACAAAUAUAAAAGACGAGCAAAAACCAGA